GGAGCUCGGCAUCUGCAUGGAGCUCUGCAGACAAACACAACGGAACGGCGAGAUCCGCCGAACGGUGCAAAACUAUCAGCAGCUUGUCCAAUGCAGCCCAUUCAAAACGGAAUCUUCAGGCAGAGUUAUGGCCUCAAUUGUGGAAAAGAUGCAUCCCGAGUCGGACCGAGGAAGAGACCGAGACUUAAGACGCUGCAGGCCACCGGCAAAUCAUGGGAAACGGUG
rnacentral:lncRNA from 1 species